rnacentral:misc_RNA from 1 species
AAGGAUCAUUGAAUCGAUCGAAUCCACACCGGUAACCAGUGCGUCUCCCCCGCGGGGCCCUUUGUGGGGCCCUCGGGCGUCAUCUCCUGCUUCACUGCGGGGGGUGGCGGACGGGAGCGUUCAUUCGCCCCCGUCGGCAUCUCUUUAAUACACCCCAACCUCAAACCACCUUCUAAAGCCACUGAGGAUGCCUUUUUCACGAAAGCGCAUCUUCAAACCAAAGACAACUCUCAACAACGGAUAUCUUGGCUCCC